rnacentral:rRNA from 1 species
GUUGUAUAGUCAAGUAAUUAAGUGCAUGUGGUGGAUGCCUUGGCAGUCAGAGGCGAUGAAAGACGUGAUAGCCUGCGAAAAGCUCCGGGGAGGCGGCAAAUAUCCUUUGAUCCGGAGAUGUCUGAAUGGGGGAACCCACCUACUUUAAGGUAGGUAUUGCAACAUGAAUACAUAGUGUUGCAAGGCGAACGAGGGGAAGUGAAACAUCUCAGUACCCUUAGGAAAAGAAAUCAAUUGAGAUUCCCUCAGUAGCGGCGAGCGAACGGGGAUCAGCCCAUUAAGUUAUGUGUGUUUUAGUGGAACGCUCUGGGAAGUGCGAACGUAGAGGGGGAUAUUCCCGUACACGAAAGGGCACACAUAAUGAUGACGAGUAGGGCGAGGCACGUGAAACCUUGUCUGAAUAUGGGGGGACCAUCCUCCAAGGCUAAAUACUCCUGACUGACCGAUAGUGAACCAGUACCGUGAGGGAAAGGCGAAAAGAACCCCUGUGAGGGGAGUGAAAUAGAUCCUGAAACCGCAUGCAUACAAGCAGUGGGAGCACCUUCGUGGUGUGACUGCGUACCUUUUGUAUAAUGGGUCAGCGACUUAUAUUCAGUAGCAAGGUUAACCGUAUAGGGGAGCCGUAGAGAAAUCGAGUCUUAAUAGGGCGUUUAGUUGCUGGGUAUAGACCCGAAACCAGGCGAUCUAUCCAUGAGCAGGUUGAAGGUUGGGUAACACUAACUGGAGGACCGAACCCACUGUCGUUGAAAAGCCAGGGGAUGACUUGUGGAUAGGGGUGAAAGGCUAAUCAAGCCUGGUGAUAGCUGGUUCUCCCCGAAAGCUAUUUAGGUAGCGCCUCGGACGAAUACCAUAGGGGGUAGAGCACUGUUUCGGCUAGGGGGUCAUCCCGACUUACCAAACCGAUGCAAACUCCGAAUACCUAUGAGUACUAUCCGGGAGACAGACUGCGGGUGCUAACGUCCGUAGUCAAGAGGAAAACAAUCCAGACCGCCAGCUAAGGCCCCAAAAUCAUAGUUAAGUGGGAAACGAUGUGGGAAGGCAUAGACAGCUAGGAGGUUGGCUUAGAAGCAGCCACCCUUUAAAGAAAGCGUAAUAGCUCACUAGUCGAGUCGGCCUGCGCGGAAGAUGUAACGGGGCUAAAACUAUGUGCCGAAGCUGCGGAUUUGACAUUAGUCAAGUGGUAGGGGAGCGUUCUGUAAGCCGAUGAAGGUGUGUUGAGAAGCAUGCUGGAGGUAUCAGAAGUGCGAAUGCUGACGUGAGUAACGACAAAACGGGUGAAAAACCCGUUCGCCGAAAGACCAAGGGUUCCAGUCCAACGUUAAUCGGGGCUGGGUGAGUCGACCCCUAAGGCGAGGCCGAAAGGCGUAGUCGAUGGGAAAAUGGUUAAUAUUCCAUUACUUCUGUGUAAUGCGAUGAGAGGACGGAGAAGGCUAAAUCAGCCUGGCGUUGGUUGUCCAGGUGAAAGGAUGUAGGCAUGUAUCUUAGGCAAAUCCGGGGUACUCUAUGCUGAGAUCUGAUAGCAAGCUGUACUUGUACAGCGAAGUGGUUGAUGCCAUGCUUCCAGGAAAAGUCUCUAAGCUUCAGUUACACAGGAAUCGUACCCGAAACCGACACAGGUGGUCAGGUCGAGUAGACCAAGGCGCUUGAGAGAACUCUGCUGAAGGAACUAGGCAAAAUGGUACCGUAACUUCGGGAGAAGGUACGCUGUUGUUGGUGAUGGAACUCGCUUCCUGAGCUGACGACAGCCGCAGAAACCAGGCCGCUGCAACUGUUUAUUAAAAACAUAGCACUCUGCAAACACGAAAGUGGACGUAUAGGGUGUGAUGCCUGCCCGGUGCUGGAAGGUUAAUUGAUGGGGUUAGCGUAAGCGAAGCUCUUGAUCGAAGCCCCAGUAAACGGCGGCCGUAACUAUAACGGUCCUAAGGUAGCGAAAUUCCUUGUCGGGUAAGUUCCGACCUGCACGAAUGGCAUAAUGAUGGCGGCGCUGUCUCCAGCAGAGGCUCAGUGAAAUCGAAAUCGCUGUGAAGAUGCAGUGUACCCGCGGCUAGACGGAAAGACCCCGUGAACCUUUACUGCAGCUUGACACUGAACUUUGACCUUACUUGUGUAGGAUAGGUGGGAGGCUUUGAAGCUGGAACGCUAGUUCCAGUGGAGCCGUCCUUGAAAUACCACCCUGGUAAUGUUGAGGUUCUAACUCUGUCCCGUGAUCCGGGACGAGGACCGUGUCUGGUGGGUAGUUUGACUGGGGCGGUCUCCUCCUAAAGAGUAACGGAGGAGUACGAAGGUGCGCUCAGCGUGGUCGGAAAUCACGCGUAGAGUAUAAAGGCAAAAGCGCGCUUAACUGCGAGACCCACAAGUCGAGCAGGUACGAAAGUAGGUCUUAGUGAUCCGGUGGUUCUGUAUGGAAGGGCCAUCGCUCAACGGAUAAAAGGUACUCUGGGGAUAACAGGCUGAUACCGCCCAAGAGUUCAUAUCGACGGCGGUGUUUGGCACCUCGAUGUCGGCUCAUCUCAUCCUGGGGCUGAAGCAGGUCCCAAGGGUAUGGCUGUUCGCCAUUUAAAGAGGUACGCGAGCUGGGUUUAGAACGUCGUGAGACAGUUCGGUCCCUAUCUACCGUGGGCGCUGGAAAUUUGAGAGGAUCUGCUCCUAGUACGAGAGGACCAGAGUGGACGAACCUCUGGUGUACCGGUUGUGACGCCAGUCGCAUCGCCGGGUAGCUAUGUUCGGAAGGGAUAACCGCUGAAAGCAUCUAAGCGGGAAGCCUACCUCAAGAUAAGAUUUCCCUAGGACUUUAUGUCCUCUAAAGAGCCGUUCGAGACUAGGACGUUGAUAGGUUGGAUGUGGAAGCAUAGUGAUAUGUGAAGCUGACCAAUACUAAUUGCUCGUGAGGCUUGACUAUACAACACCCAAGCAGUUG